CCUUUAAAGAGUUUAAAUCAGUUGACCUAGAAAUUCCACUCCUCUGAAUCUUUAUUAGGGAAAUAGUCAAAGAGGCAGACAAAGAUUUAUGUAUACAGUUAUUCAUUUUAUUUGUAAAAUAGUAAAAAGAAGUAAAUAACCCAAAUACCACAAUGGGGAAACUGUCAGAGAAGAGAUCUGCCCCCAGGAAGCUGAUGGCUUAAUGGAGGAAGUGAGACACAUUCACAAAUAAAUGCAUUAAAAGCCCAGGAUCCCUGGGACAGGAAGCAGUGGCAGUUAAACAGUCACACAUCAGUGCUCUAGCAAGUGAACUGAGGUGCAUCCAACUAAGGAGCAGAUCCAGGACCAGAGGACAUAAAAUUAUCUGGGAGCAGGGCCAGGAAGGUGCUGGAACAAAAACAAGGAACCUGGCAUUGUGCACUUUAUCUGCAAAUGAAAAUCUUCUCAUGUAUUAGGACUUGGCUUAAGCAUUGCAUCUUCAGGCAAACCUCUCCUGAUUUCCCCAGAUAGCCAUUUCCCUGAAGGAAGGAUCUGUACGUGACUCCAUUCUGUAUUUUGCAUGACACCCGCACAGUGCUUUGUGUUUGUACAUAUUCAGUACAUGAGUCUUAAACAUCCAAGGAGUGGAAA